rnacentral:lncRNA from 1 species
CCCUGGGGACAGGUGACAAUGGCAGGUGCCACCUCAGGUGUGCCCAGGUGCCACCAGGUGUGCCCAGGUGCCACCAGACCUGUCCAGGUGCCACCAGGUGUGCCCAGGUGCCACCAGGUGUGUCCAGGUACCACCAAACCUGUCCAGGUGCCACCAGGUGUGCCCAGGUGCCACCAAACCUGUCCAGGUGCCACCAGGUGUGUGCCCAAGUGCCACCUCAGGUGUGUCCAGGUGCCACCAAACCUGUCCAGGUGCCACCUCAGGUGUGCCCAAGUGCCACCUCAGGUGUGCCCAGGUGCCACCAGGUGUGCCCAGGUGCCACCUCAGGUGUGCCCAGGUGCCACCAGGUGUGCCCAGGUGCCACCAAACCUGUCCAGGUGCCACCAGGUGAGUUCCCAGCUGUUCCCAGGUGCCACCAGGUGUGUCCAGGUGUGCCCAGCUGUUCUCAGCUGUGCCCAGGUGUCCCCAGGUGUGUCCAGGUGCCACCAGGUGUGUCCAGCUCUCCCCACAUAUGUCUCCAGGUGCCACCAGGUGAGUUCCCAGCUGUCUCCAG